rnacentral:rRNA from 1 species
UACGGGGGGAGCAAGCGUUGUUCGGAUUUACUGGGCGUAAAGGGCGCGUAGGCGGAUCGUUAAGUCAGGGGUGAAAUCCUGGAGCUCAACUCCAGAACUGCCUUUGAUACUGGCGAUCUUGAGUCCGGAAGAGGUGAGUGGAACUCCUAGUGUAGAGGUGGAAUUCGUAGAUAUUAGGAAGAACACCAGUGGCGAAGGCGGCUCACUGGUCCGGUACUGACGCUGAGGUGCGAAAGCGUGGGGAGCAAACAGG